AUUGAACGCUGGCGGCAUGCUUUACACAUGCAAGUCGAACGGUAACAGGGUGCUUGCACCGCUGACGAGUGGCGAACGGGUGAGUAAUGCGUCGGAGCGUGCCGAGUAGUGGGGGAUAACGCAGCGAAAGUUGUGCUAAUACCGCAUACGUACUGAGGUAGAAAGUGGGGGACCUUCGGGCCUCACGCUAUUCGAGCGGCCGACGUCUGAUUAGCUAGUAGGUGAGGUAAAGGCUCACCUAGGCGACGAUCAGUAGCGGGUCUGAGAGGAUGAUCCGCCACACUGGGACUGAGACACGGCCCAGACUCCUACGGGAGGCAGGAGUGGGGAAUUUUGGACAAUGGGCGAAAGCCUGAUCCAGCCAUGCCGCGUGUCUGAAGAAGGCCUUCGGGUUGUAAAGGACUUUUGUCAGGGAGGAAAUCCCUAGUGCUAAUAACACUGGGGGAUGACAGUACCUGAAGAAUAAGCACCGGCUAACUACGUGCCAGCCGCCGCCGUAACAC
rnacentral:rRNA from 1 species